GACCUCGUACAGGGCCGGCGGCCGCGCGCGCGGUGUGGGGGCGGCGGCGGCCUGCUGCCUUGGCUUGCCUCGCAGCAUGCACAGUCAAGACAAGCAUUCAUGUGGGUUUGAACAAAGCAUUCAGCUAGCUGGGACCUGAUCGAUAGCUUCCUCUGCCUUCGUCGGAAGAUGAGGUACCCAAUCACACAGGAGAGUGUAUUCCUGCUUGGUUUCUAACACUAAAUCCAUUAUCUACACUAAAUCAACUAUCAUAUCGAUC
rnacentral:lncRNA from 1 species